GCUACGCCUGCUGAGGGUCGC
rnacentral:rRNA from 1 species